rnacentral:rRNA from 1 species
UGCUGGAGGUAUCAGAAGUGCGAAUGCUGACAUAAGUAACGAUAAAGCGGGUGAAAAGCCCGCUCGCCGGAAGACCAAGGGUUCCUGUCCAACGUUAAUCGGGGCAGGGUGAGUCGACCCCUAAGGCGAGGCCGAAAGGCGUAGUCGAUGGGAAACGGGUUAAUAUUCCCGUACUUGGUGUUACUGCGAAGGGGGGACGGAGAAGGCUAUGUUGGCCGGGCGACGGUUGUCCCGGUUUAAGCGUGUAGGUGUGUGUUCCAGGUAAAUCCGGUUCACUUUAACACUGAGGCGUGAUGACGAGGCACUACGGUGCUGAAGCAACAAAUGCCCUGCUUCCAGGAAAAGCCUCUAAGCAUCAGGUAACANGAAAUCGUACCCCAAACCGACACAGGUGGUCAGGUAGAGAAUACCAAGGCGCUUGAGAGAACUCGGGUGAAGGAACUAGGCAAAAUGGUGCCGUAACUUCGGGAGAAGGCACGCUGACACGUAGGUGAAGUGAUUUACUCACGGAGCUGAAGUCAGUCGAAGAUACCAGCUGGCUGCAACUGUUUAUUAAAAACACAGCACUGUGCAAACACGAAAGUGGACGUAUACGGUGUGACGCCUGCCCGGUGCCGGAAGGUUAAUUGAUGGGGUCAGCGUAAGCGAAGCUCCUGAUCGAAGCCCCGGUAAACGGCGGCCGUAACUAUAACGGUCCUAAGGUAGCGAAAUUCCUUGUCGGGUAAGUUCCGACCUGCACGAAUGGCGUAAUGAUGGCCAGGCUGUCUCCACCCGAGACUCAGUGAAAUUGAACUCGCUGUGAAGAUGCAGUGUACCCGCGGCAAGACGGAAAGACCCCGUGAACCUUUACUAUAGCUUGACACUGAACAUUGAGCCUUGAUGUGUAGGAUAGGUGGGAGGCUUUGAAGUGUGGACGCCAGUCUGCAUGGAGCCGACCUUGAAAUACCACCCUUUAAUGUUUGAUGUUCUAACGUGGACCCGUAAUCCGGGUUGCGGACAGUGUCUGGUGGGUAGUUUGACUGGGGCGGUCUCCUCCUAAAGAGUAACGGAGGAGCACGAAGGUUGGCUAAUCCUGGUCGGACAUCAGGAGGUUAGUGCAAUGGCAUAAGCCAGCUUGACUGCGAGCGUGACGGCGCGAGCAGGUGCGAAAGCAGGUCAUAGUGAUCCGGUGGUUCUGAAUGGAAGGGCCAUCGCUCAACGGAUAAAAGGUACUCCGGGGAUAACAGGCUGAUACCGCCCAAGAGUUCAUAUCGACGGCGGUGUUUGGCACCUCGAUGUCGGCUCAUCACAUCCUGGGGCUGAAGUAGGUCCCAAGGGUAUGGCUGUUCGCCAUUUAAAGUGGUACGCGAGCUGGGUUUAGAACGUCGUGAGACAGUUCGGUCCCUAUCUGCCGUGGGCGCUGGAGAACUGAGGGGGGCUGCUCCUAGUACGAGAGGACCGGAGUGGACGCAUCACUGGUGUUCGGGUUGUCAUGCCAAUGGCACUGCCCGGUAGCUAAAUGCGGAAGAGAUAAGUGCUGAAAGCAUCUAAGCACGAAACUUGCCCCGAGAUGAGUUCUCCCUGAGACUUAGAGUCUCCUGAAGGAACGUUGAAGACGACGACGUUGAUAGGCCGGGUGUGUAAGCGCAGCGAUGCGUUGAGCUAACCGGUACUAAUGAACCGUGAGGCUUAACCUUACAACGCCGAAG